GACGUAGGUGGCGACCGUUAUCCGGAAUUAUUGGGCGUAAAGGGUGCGUAGGCGGCAUGAUAAGUUAUUGGCGGGAAAUCGAGGCUCAACCUCGUGGAAACUAAUAAUACUGUUUUGCUUGAGUACAGGAGAGGUUAACGGAACUCCAUGUGGAGCGGUAAAAUGUGUAGAUAUAUGGAAGAACAUCAAUAACGGCGAAGGCAGUUAACUAUUCUGUUACUGACGUUGAGGCACGAAAGCGUGGGGAGCAAAACGG
rnacentral:rRNA from 1 species